rnacentral:rRNA from 1 species
AGGGUUUGAUCCUGGCUCAGAUUGAACGCUGGCGGCAGGCCUAACACAUGCAAGUCGAGCGGUAGAGAGAAGCUUGCUUCUCUUGAGAGCGGCGGACGGGUGAGUAAUGCCUAGGAAUCUGCCUGGUAGUGGGGGAUAACGUUCGGAAACGGACGCUAAUACCGCAUACGUCCUACGGGAGAAAGCAGGGGACCUUCGGGCCUUGCGCUAUCAGAUGAGCCUAGGUCGGAUUAGCUAGUUGGUGAGGUAAUGGCUCACCAAGGCGACGAUCCGUAACUGGUCUGAGAGGAUGAUCAGUCACACUGGAACUGAGACACGGUCCAGACUCCUACGGGAGGCAGCAGUGGGGAAUAUUGGACAAUGGGCGAAAGCCUGAUCCAGCCAUGCCGCGUGUGUGAAGAAGGUCUUCGGAUUGUAAAGCACUUUAAGUUGGGAGGAAGGGUUGUAGAUUAAUACUCUGCAAUUUUGACGUUACCGACAGAAUAAGCACCGGCUAACUCUGUGCCAGCAGCCGCGGUAAUACAGAGGGUGCAAGCGUUAAUCGGAAUUACUGGGCGUAAAGCGCGCGUAGGUGGUUUGUUAAGUUGGAUGUGAAAUCCCCGGGCUCAACCUGGGAACUGCAUUCAAAACUGACUGACUAGAGUAUGGUAGAGGGUGGUGGAAUUUCCUGUGUAGCGGUGAAAUGCGUAGAUAUAGGAAGGAACACCAGUGGCGAAGGCGACCACCUGCACUAAUACUGACACUGAGGUGCGAAAGCGUGGGGGAGCAAACAGGAU